UGGACGGUAAAGAAGUUUAUGGACUCCA
rnacentral:sRNA from 1 species